GCAUCUCCCAAGAAUGGACUGGUAGAGGAAGUGAAGUCACCAUGGGAACUGCCAUGUGAGAAGAAGGGUCGCCAUCAUCCUCCUCUUACUCAUUAAGACUCAGAUCUUGUGAGCCUCCAUCCUGUACUGACCCUGCCAUGGAAUCGGGCUUCUCUGUUGGGUGGCCUUCCAUUUUCGGCAGACAGCUUCUGUUUCCACAGACCACCCUGUUGCUGGAGUCUCUCAAUCUCCCACGUUCAAAGUCACAAAGAAGGGACCGAAUGUAAUUGUCAGGGUAACAUUGUAGCAGACCAAUCUGGGCUGUCUAGUGAUCGGUUCUCUGCAGUGAGGCCUGAGGGCUCCUUCUCCACUCUGAAGAUCCAGCUCACAGGGCAGAAGGAUACAGGCUUGUACCUCUGAACCAGCAGCUUAGCCACAGCAUGGCACAGGC